rnacentral:rRNA from 1 species
CUUAUGAAUAAGGACCGGCUAAUUCCGUGCCAGCAGCCGCGGUAAUACGGAAGGUCCGGGCGUUAUCCGGAUUUAUUGGGUUUAAAGGGAGCGUAGGCCGGAGAUUAAGCGUGUUGUGAAAUGUAGAUGCUCAACAUCUGAACUGCAGCGCGAACUGGUUUCCUUGAGUACGCACAAAGUGGGCGGAAUUCGUGGUGUAGCGGUGAAAUGCUUAGAUAUCACGAAGAACUCCGAUUGCGAAGGCAGCUCACUGGAGCGCAACUGACGCUGAAGCUCGAAAGUGCGGGUAUCGAACAGGAUUAGAUACCCUGGUAGUCCGCACGGUAAACGAUGGAUGCCCGCUGUUGGUCUGAAUAGGUCAGCGGCCAAGCGAAAGCAUUAAGCAUCCCACCUGGGGAGUACGCCGGCAACGGUGAAACUCAAAGGAAUUGACGGGGGCCCGCACAAGCGGAGGAACAUGUGGUUUAAUUCGAUGAUACGCGAGGAACCUUACCCGGGCUUGAAUUGCAGAGGAAGGAUUUGGAGACAAUGACGCCCUUCGGGGCCUCUGUGAAGGUGCUGCAUGGUUGUCGUCAGCUCGUGCCGUGAGGUGUCGGCUUAAGUGCCAUAACGAGCGCAACCCCUCUCCUUAGUUGCCAUCAGGUGAAGCUGGGCACUCUGGGGACACUGCCACCGUAAGGUGUGAGGAAGGUGGGGAUGACGUCAAAUCAGCACGGCCCUUACGUCCGGGGCUACACACGAGUUACAAUGGCAGGUACAGAGAGACGGUCCCUUGCAAAAUAGGUC